AAGAGGCGUAUGAAGAUAAAGCUUUACGCUUCGUUCUUUACAACACGGGUAAACACGUGAUGCAAUAAUAAUGUUGAGAGUGUAAGAUUUUGAAAUAGUUUAUCAUACGAUAAUGUUAAAGUAUUCGAAAAAACGCACGUAAUUUUGCAAAGCACUCCGCGAUCACGUUGGAAUGUGGCCCAAACAUUGGUCAGGCGACUGUCGCGUGAAUACGUACGCUGACACGCCAAGUAUACUUGCGUGUGUGCGGGCAUGUUUAUGUGUAAAUUGUAUAUCAGUUCUAAGCAUGUGUAUUCCUAAACGAUAUUCUUAUGCAUGUAUGAGUGAUGCGUUGUAUAUACAUGAUUUUUAACGAAGGCAAACACAGACGUGUUGUGGCAUGAUUGUACGAGUCUUUACGGCUUUUUUAAUUCAGGUCAAUACUUGUUUAGCAGUUUAAUAUUUAUUCUAUUUGUAAAUACUUUACUUAAAUUCAAAUGAUAUGUUUAAUUUAUAUCUUAAACUAUAAAAAGAAGUUUGAAGAUAUUUAAUUAAUAGUUUUUCGAAUGUAAAACUGAAGUUGUUUUUUAAAUUAUCAUUUUUACAAUAAAUUCUUCAUAAAUUUCUCCACAAUGAACACCAAGCAGAAGCGUAAAUCCUAAAAGUGUUUUCAAAACUCAUACAAUAAUUUGUUGAUGAAAUAUACAUAGGGUACUAUGAGGUGUACGUUUGUAGCCUAAGGGGCUGCUAUUCCUGCUAUCCACGGACGGGUAGGUGAGCUCACGGGAUCAACCUGAGAGAAUUUGAGAAAAUUCGAACCGACAAAAUUUGAACCUGAGAAAAUAAAUACUAGCCCUAGCAAGAGCAAUGUUUCGCAGUAGGUAUCUACCACCGGAUCGGAUUCGCGGUUAUUGUGUCUGUAAGUGGUAAAUAUAGAAUCCUUUGCAUGGGCGACGGUAACCACUCACCAUCAGGUGGGCUGUAUGCUCGUCUGCCUACAAGGGCAAUAAAAAAAAAUGCAUGUUCUAUGCCAUUAAGUUAAUCUUCUAUAUAAUAAGUUAUAAACUAUGAUGGAUUAGAGCUAACACAAAUAAAAUAACAGAACAAUG